rnacentral:rRNA from 1 species
UACGUAGGGUGCGCGCGUUGUCCGGAGUUACUGGGCGUACAGGGCAUGCAGGCGGUCGGACGCGUUUCGGCUGACAGCGGGUGGCUUCACUACCCGAGUGGUCGAAAGACGGUUUGACUUGAGGACGCGAGAGGGACACGGAAUUCCGGGUGGAGUGGUGAAAUGCGUAGAGAUCCGGAGGAACACCGAAGGCGAAGGCAGUGUCCUGGCGCGUAACUGACGCUGAGGUGCGAAAGCCAGGGGAGCGAACGGG